rnacentral:lncRNA from 1 species
GUUGCUACCAGGAAAUGACAGGGGGGCUUGGGGAAACUAACUUUUUUUUUUAUUAUUAUUUGGACAGACUUAAAGAAGUGGCAUCAAAUUUGAAGGGCACCCAAUCAAUCUGUUGUCCUAGCUGCAUGAAAUUGUAUUUCCCUGCUACUUCAUAUCUUAUUUGCAGCAGCUGGGCUGACAUGGAUGCUGCUUGUGAAUUUAAAACCAAAGACAAUCAAGAUCUUGGAGAGAAAGAGAAGCUGUUUUUGCAGCACGGGAGUUUAGUUCUCUCCAGCAGUUACACAUUCUCUGGAUAAAUAAAUAAUCACACUAUUUCUGCUGUCAAAGCUGAAAGCAUGCACAGCUGUUUGCCACACGAUACGCCGGGACUACAAGGUAUAACGUUUCUUAAUUAGACUGACCUGGGUUUGCGAAGCAGCAUCAUUAG